UUCAAAACGUGCCUGACACUGGAAAAAAACAAACAAACUCUACAGCCGUUUGCUGACAGAUUGUGACAAACACUUUGCGACAGACUAUUCAACUCUAGCCAGAGCGGGUAGUCGAGUGAGAGAGAUGAGAGGGAACACCAGAUACUAAAGCACCCCUAAUUUCUACAAGCAAUUCCUGACUACUCUCGCAGGGGCUAUCCAGGCUGUUCUGUGAUCUGAGGUGGCAAAGCCCCAGUUGGGACUGCACCGAUGCCCCGCACCCUGCUUACCUGUCCUUCUAUGGAGGAUGUUCUUUCAACAUAUAGGAAGCCAUUGUAUGCAGCGAGUGACUGGCACGCAUUGCACACUCUCUAAUGGCAAAGAGACUAUGCAUCUCCUGGGCUUACAGACUUCUGCCAAUGGUUGUAAAUGUUCCAGUUCCAGUUCCAUAAUUGUGAAGCUGAACAUUGACAAGUGAGCCAUUACAUCACUAUAUGUGGGCACCCUUCUGCCUGGGACUAUUUAUUCUGGAUACAUGCGGAAAUCUGCAUUAUCUAAUUUAGCUCCCAUGAGCACUCCCUUCUUAUUUCUUUUUUUUCAUUCAUCAAACUCAAUAAAUGUAUAAUAGCUUUUCUAUA